ensembl:lncRNA
GAACAAUCUGAACACAAGCAAGCUUGACCACAGAGGGAAGUGUGUCUGGUGGUGGGCUGUCAUAUAACUCCCCAUCUUGUCUCUUAAACCAGUUCCUUCUGAGUUCUCUCUCUUUGCUGAUACUGUUCGCAACCUCCAAGAGCCAGCUAGACCAGAGACUUUGGAAUCCUCUUCAAUCCCCCUUCCUCAUCCACUCACACAUGGUACACAGUACUUUAAAAGGAAGAAAAAUUUAUAAGACCUUUGACUGACAACCUACAAAAGCAAAAGCUGAGUAAGGAUACCAACACUUGAAUCCAAGGAUAAUGGAAAAAUAACAUCUGACUGGAAUAAAUGGAUCACAUAUAUAAGCCAUGCUACCAUAUGGUGAGACUCUAAAGAAUGGAACUUACAAGGAACGGCCCUGCUCUGUGGGUGGAGAAAGGGAAGAAAUGACAUAAAAAAGACAACCUUACUGUAUGCCAAAGAAGCAUUCCCAACUACCUGGAAUAAUCUGCAUAAGUCAAGAUGAAUUUCCCCAUAUACAUCAAAAAGAGUGACAAGCACUUCUGUUUAUCAGCUCGCCUGUGGGGACUGCCACAUGGUAACAGCAUAAAGAGAAUUCAUAAAUUACUUUAUCCUCAUACUUUGAAAAUAUGUAAUUCCUGAUAAAUGUUAAACAUUUUGAGAGAUGUACAUUAUUUUGAAAUCUUUGCAUAAAAGGACACUUAACACUAAUGAAUCUAUCUUCAGGGCAGCAGUGGAGAUGCAGACAUAGAGAACACGUUUGGACACAGUGAGGGAGGGAGAAGGUGGAAUUAUUUGAGAGGGUAAACAUAUGCAUUGCUGCUACUGCUAAGUCACUUCAGUCAUGUCCAACUCUGUGCGACCCCAUAGACGGCAGCCCACCAGGCUCCCCUGUCCCUGGGAUGCUCCAGGCAAGAACACUGGAGUGGGUUGCCAUUUCCUUCUCCAAUGCAUGAAAGUGAAAAGUGAAAGUGAAGUCGCUCAGUCAUGUCUGACUCCUAGCGACCCCAUGGACUGCAGCCCAUCAGGCCCCUCCGUCCAUGGGAUUUUCCAGGCAAGAGUACUGGAGUGGAGUGCCAUUGCCUUAUGCAUUACCAUAUGUAAAACAGAUAGCUGGUGGGAAUUUGCUGUAUAACACAGGGAACUCAAAGCCAGUGCUUUGUGACAAC